UGGCGGCCUCGGGUCCAUCCCGAGGCCACGCCCGUCUGAGGGUCGGCGAGUCAGACAAGCUAUCGCCUCCUUUUUUGGCAGCAGGCUUCCACACAGAAGCGUCCGCUUCUCUCGAACAUUUCUUGCUCUGGAAUGACGAUGAGACGGUCACUUGAAUGUGUUUGGGGGCCGUGGAGGCGCUUUGGGUUUUCGCGGAUCUCUUUCGAUCCCCGUGACUUCAAGUGCAUGCUGCGCCGUCCGUCAUCUCGUGACAGUCUCGGUGUCCGGAACAGCUCUGACUAUUUUGUUUUCCGGGCACUGGUGACAUAGGCGAGAGAAGAUGUUUAUUUCUCUCUUAACCGACGCCGCCGGCCGUCGUGCUGGACUCGGAUUGAUCGGAUAUCAUCGAGCCGCCGGCGUGCUGGAAGCUGCGGGACAUUGGGAGAAAUGACGGCGCCCAGUUAUAAGCAAAGCGAGCAUACGCUUGGUUUUGCUACUCAUAUAUCCGACCUCAGAUCGGACGAGAUUACCCGCUGAAUUUAAGCAUAUAACUAAGCGGAGGAAAAGAAACUAACAAGGAUUCCCUCAGUAACGGCGAGUGAAGCGGGAAUAGCCCAGCACCGAAUCCCUCAGUGUCAUGCUGACGGGAACUGUGGUGUGUGGGACGCCACCAGUCGCAUCAGAGGGCGCCGAAGUCCUCCUGAUCGGGGCUUCACCCAGAGCGGGUGUAAGGCCUUUGCGGGUGCCUCUCUGUGCGGCCGCGAGCGUCUCAGGAGUCGGGUUGUUUGGGAAUGCAGCCCAAAGCGGGUGGUACACUCCAUCUAAGGCUAAAUACUGGCACGAGUCCGAUAGCGGA
rnacentral:rRNA from 1 species